CAGCUAGCAGUUAGCCUGCAUCUGUCAGCCUUUCACUAAGUAUAUGAGUGGAAUUUAUGUUUCAGCAUGACAAAAUUUCCUGUUUUUAAACUUUUUCCAAACUUCUCCCAUUGACAGGAGAAAAAUCAAACCAAAUCAGCAUCAGGAAAAGCCUACUUUAAUAACAGCCAUUUGAUUAAAUCUUGGCUGACGGUAGAUUGAGUAAUUAAGCAACAUCACAAGAGGCCAAAUUAACUGAUAUCAGUCUUGACGUUACAACUUCACAAGCUGCCAGUCUGAUAGAAGCCGGUGUCUACAAUCAGGGCUCUAAGUCAGCCAGAAAAGCGUUGACUUUGUCUGGAACAACUUUACCCAAGGGAUAGCUGUGUACAUCCUUGGAUAUGGGCGUGGGCAGAGCAAUCCACCACCAGUUAAAGAUGUAAUGGUUCAAGAAAUGCGAACGGGAAGAUCCUCACUGACGUUAGAUGAACAACACUGCUCCUGUGCAGUAACAACGUAAGCAGUGUUUGUCACCAACUGUCUGCUGUCAUCAAAACAAAGAGAUGUUGUGCCUUUCAUAGAGCUUCUUGAUUUCUUAAGUGGCUAUGGCAUACUCCUUACUCCGCAGCCACCAAACUAUUGCCUAAGGCUGCAACAAAAAGAAGGAAGUACGCUGAAGCAGCCCCCACCAUUGCUAAUUGGACCCAGAACUCAGACGCUGCUAAAGCCACUUCAUCGCCGCUGAUACUCCAGCCACUGCCAUAGCCAAGAGACUAUCCCAACUCUCGAGGACCAGGGCCCAUCUCAAUUCUGAGGACCGACAGACCAUCCAAAUUAACUCCUGAGGACCGAGGGAUCAUCCACUCCGCCGCUGUUGCAGACACCACCAAAGGAAAAGAACCAACCCUGAUCCAUCGUUGCUGGAGCCGUUGCUCAAGCCGUGACUGCCAUGGCCAGGAGGAAUGGACCGGAUCUGCCGCUCACCAGCUCCCCACAACCCCUCUCCUUUGUUAGUUCCUUACAGAGUGGAAUGGAAAAUUGACUGGCCCCUCUACAUUUUGUCAUGUGCAUCUAGUUAUACCAUUAAAAUACUGCAUCAGCAAAAUGCAAAGUAUGUAAUUUUGUUGAGUCGUGACAUAGUUCUACUGCAAAGCUGGAUUAAGUACAGUGCGUUACCAUGAUGCCUACAAAACAAACGAGUCAGAGAACACGGUACAACAGAAGACACUAGCAACGCUACCCUACAUCGAUAAUAUAUCAGAAACGACUACCAGACUCCUAAGACCGCAUGAGAUCAUGAUUGCACACAAACCUACAGCAGCACUGCGCCAAAUGUCAUCAAAGACUAAAGACCCCAUACUGACAGUAAACAAGACCAACGUAAUAUACAGAAUACCAUGGAGCGAGUUCAAUAAACAUUACAUUGGACAAACAAGGAGGAAACUGAUGACCAGGGUACACGAACACCAGCUGGCAGUAAAAAGACACAACCAAUAUUCACUUGUCUUGAUACACACAGACAACGAGGGCCAUCAGUUCAACUGGGACAAUGUGACCGUACUGGGAUAAGCGAACACCAGACAUACAAGAGAAUUUCUGGAAGUCUGGUUCUCAACACGGGACUCCAUUAACAAACACAUAGAAAUAGACCCCGUAUGCAGACCACUGCUAAAACAACAAAACCGGAAGUAACAAGACCAUCACACCAGAGGAUCAUAUAAAUCCGGAAGGAAGCAGAAUACCUACACUUUGAUUAGAGGUCGCACUGAUGAUGUUGCCUAGAAGGGUAACGAAACAUCUGCAUGUCACAGAACAACCGGCUCGAUUCUUUGCUGUGAUAUCUGACAUGGACAUUUCUGGAGCUGGAGUCCUUGUGAUGCCGCUUCAAAUAUGAAGACAACGCAGAAGGAGAGAGCAAUUACAACAUUUUCAGCACGCUCAGAAGAAACAGUAACCUCCAGUGGCUGCUGCCCAAGCAGAUCCAACAAUGAGGUGGAACAAAUGAUGAUACCCAAAUCUACUAGAGAAGGAACAAAACUUGAUGUACCCUUGGGUAAUAAGACAGGACAAGUGACAGAAGUGAUAGUAAGGGAACACUUUGGGUCUAGUCAUCAUAAUUCUAUGUGUUCUAAAAUGGUUAUGGAAAAGGAUGAGCCUUCCAUAAAAAUUAAUUUUUUAAUUGGAGGCAAAUUUUAAUGGCAUGCGACAGAACUUACAAAAGUGGAUUGGAGUAGACUGUUCGUAGGUAAAGUGACGUCUGAUAAGUGAGAGGCUUUCAAAAGUGUGAUAACGAGAGUUCAGUGUCACCGUGUUCCUGUUAGAGUGAAAAGGAAGGCCGGCAGAAUUAGAAAACAAUGGAUGAAUAAAAAAUAUUGAGGUUCUUGUCAAGAAUAAAAAAGAAUCAUAUAUUAGAUAUAGACAACUGGGUUCAAAUGAAUCUCAUGGACAGUAUAAAGCGUGUAAGAGCACUCUUAAGAGGGAGAUCAGGAAGGCAAAGA